UCAGAUGGCCGGAUGGCCGCUGUCUUGCGCAAGCAGGGCAGAGGAAAGUCCGGGCUCCACGGAAACACGGUGCCGGAUAAUGACCGGCGGGGGCGACCCCAGGGAAAGUGCCACAGAGAACAGACCGCCUGUGUUUGACGCAGGUAAGGGUGAAACGGUGCGGUAAGAGCGCACCGCGCGACCGGUAACGGGAGCGGCAUGGCAAACCCCACCGGGAGCAAGACCAAAUAGGGGCGGCACGCCGGAUGCAAAUCCGGUAAACCUGUUUCCGGGAUGCUGCCCGGGUUGGUUGCACGAGGCGCUUGGUAACAGGCGUCCCAGAUGAAUGGUCAUCGCCCGCAAGGGUACAGAACCCGGCUUACAGGCCAUCUGACAUA
rnacentral:RNase_P_RNA from 1 species